CACACACACACACACACAAAACAAAAACAAAAACAAAAAAGUUAUUAGUGAGUUCAAAUAUUAGGUCAUAAAAGGUACUGUGAUUUUAGUCUCUGACUCUCCUCCCUUCCCUCCCCCCUCCCCCACUCUCUCCUCUCUUCUCUCUUCAUCCCUCUACUCACACCAGGCCAACUGACAUGCUGGAGAUGUACAAUGGAGAGCUCUCUGUGGCAAAAAACCGACAGCUCUGCCCAACAGCUAGUGAGGACCAGAGACCUACCAUCACCAAGUGAGGGAGUUUAGAACAAGCCUUCAGAUGACUGCAGCCCUGGCAGACAUUUUGACUGAAACCUUGUGAGAAGCCAUGACCCAGAAGUACCCACUAAGUAGUUUCUGAAUUCCUGGCCCACAGAAAUGCAAAUGUCUUCACCAUAGUGCAUCUACUAUGAUGUGAUGCAUCUGAUGAGGCCCUUAUCCAAUGGCAAGCAGAUGUGGACACCUGAUCUUAGACUUUCAGCACAUAAAACUAUUGGGUUCAUGAAAUGCUCCAAUAAUGAAAUCUUUGAAAAUUCUGCUCUGCCACUGACUGCCGGAAUCUGGAAUGUGCCCCUUGGAUCACCGCUGUCACUGGCUGCCCACCAGUUCCCAUGACUUCAUGGAACACAUGACUGGACCAAUUCUCAGAAGGGAGACAGCUGCAGAAAAUCAACGGUGGUAUUACAGACGGCAACUCACUGUGAAACACGAAGGGACAUUAGCUGUCCAAUCAUUUGUGCGUCCAAAACCCAGCCAAGGCAUCACGCCUUCCAGAUGAAGGGAUCGUCGGCAUCCAGGAGGCUGCUGACGGCAAAUUACCUUGGGUCUGGGAGCAUCAAGCCCAUCAUGCGCUGUUCCCUG
rnacentral:lncRNA from 1 species